rnacentral:rRNA from 1 species
AAGCAGGGGAUCGCAAGACCUUGCGCUUUUGGAGCGGCCGAUGCCUGAUUAGCUAGUUGGUGGGGUAAGGGCCUACCAAGGCGACGAUCAGUAGUUGGUCUGAGAGGACGACCAGCCACACUGGGACUGAGACACGGCCCAGACUCCUACGGGAGGCAGCAGUGGGGAAUUUUGGACAAUGGGCGAAAGCCUGAUCCAGCAAUGCCGCGUGAGUGAAGAAGGCCUUCGGGUUGUAAAGCUCUUUCAGUCGAGAAGAAAAGGUCGCGACUAAUAAUCGCGACUCAUGACGGUAUCGACAGAAGAAGCACCGGCUAACUACGUGCCAGCAGCCGCGGUAAUACGUAGGGUGCGAGCGUUAAUCGGAAUUACUGGGCGUAAAGGGUGCGCAGGCGGCUUUGUAAGUCAGAUGUGAAAUCCCCGGGCUUAACCUGGGAAUUGCGUUUGAAACUACAAAGCUAGAGU